UAAGGAAUAUUGCGCAAUGGACGAAAGUCUGACGCAGCAACGCCGCGUGCAGGAUGAAGGCCCUUCGGGUCGUAAACUGCUGUAGCAGGGGACUAAUAACCGUCUCGGACGGGAAUGAAGGUACCCUGAAAGUAAGCCACGGCUAACUACGUGCCAGCAGCCGCGGUAAUACGUAGGUGGCAAGCGUUGUCCGGAUUCACUGGGUGUAAAGGGUGCGCAGGCGGAUUUGUAAGUCAGAGGUGAAAUCUCACGGCUUAACCGUGAAACUGCCUUUGAUACUGCAGAUCUUGAGUUCGGGAGAGGUUGAUGGAAUUCCAGGUGUAGCGGUGAAAUGCGUAGAUAUCUGGAAGAACACCAGUGGCGAAGGCGGUCAACUGGCCCGUAACUGACGCUCAGGCACGAAAGCGUGGGUAGCAAACAGG
rnacentral:rRNA from 1 species